GGAGAGUAUAGACAUCCUGGAUGCCUCAUUUUUGAUAAUCCAAAUGUGGUUGCCAAGAAACCAACUUCCAAGUAGAAGUUUUGCUGAAGUCACCGAUUAUGGAUCCCAUCUCCUGUGAAGAUGAAGGAAAAUCGUCUUGUCUCGGGAUGAUUCUUCAUUGAACACUGUAACCGAACAUAAAAAGGACUGGCCAUGGUUGGAAGAAACUUUUGCUGACUUUUACCGCAGAUUGGAUUUUGUCCUCCCAGACACCUGGCAAAGAAAGAUCAGCUUCGAUGGAUGGCCAGUAUUACUUCUAUGUUAGAAUAUACGAAGUGUGUACAAACUCAGCUCAUGUAAAACUGCAUUGAAUAUUCA